UUUUCCAAGCCCUGCCGCGUUGACCUGGCCUAUGGUAAGCCGCAGGCCCGCUCGAGCCCCAUUAAGCCCCGCCUCGUGAGUCGACGCGUGGCGACGGCGAUGGGGUCGCGGGGCUGCGUGGCGCUGCGGCUCGGGGUGCUGCUGUGGCGCCGGGCCUUCUCCCCGGGAGCGUGGCCCGCGGCGGCCGCGGGGCUCAGGCUUCGGCUGCUGUCCGUGGGGCGGCUUCCGGUGGGACCGACGCUCGGCAAGGUCUGCCCGGCCCCCGACCGAGCGCGCGGCCUGCACGGCGGGCCGGGCCUGGAGGAGCGGGCGGAGGGAACAGCCGGCGAGGGGCGCCCGGAGUCAGGCACCGGAGAUCAUACUGGUCCCAAGUUUGACAUCGAUAUGCUGGUUUCACUUCUGAGGCAAGAAAAUGCCAGAGACAUUUGUGUCAUCAAGGUUCCUCCAGAAAUGAAAUAUACAGAUUACUUUGUAAUUGGUAGUGGAACUUCUGCUCGACACUUACAUGCCAUGGCCUACUACAUUGUGAAAAUGUACAAAUACCUGAAACGUAAAAGUGAGCCUCAUGUUAAGAUCGAAGGGAAGGACACAGAUGACUGGCUCUGUGUGGACUUUGGCAGCAUGGUGAUUCAUUUGAUGCUUCCAGAAACCAGAGAAACGUAUGAAUUAGAGAAAUUAUGGACCCUUCGUUCUUAUGAUGACCAGUUAGCUCAGAUAGCACCUGAGACCUUACCUGAAGACUUCAUUCUUGGAAUAGAAGAUGACACUUCAUCUCUGGCUCCUGUGGAGUUUAAAUGUGAAUAAAAUGGAGAAUAAGCCUGAAACACAGUCUGGACCUGGUGCUUUGGGGAGACUUGUAGCCAAGUAGCCAGUUGUCUAGUUUUAUUGAGGUAGGUUUUAACUUUUAAUGUGGUAUUAACACAUAGGUAACAGGUGCUAUUGGUCAUCAAACAUGUCUCUUCUUUUUGUUAAAUGUAUGAUCUAAAGCAAUUCCGUUGUCUAAAAAUGUAAGUUACGGGCUUCCCUGGUGGCGCAGUGGUUGAGAGUCCGCCUGCCGAGGCAGAGGACAUGGGUUCGUGCCCUGGUCCGGGAAGAUCCCACAUGCCGCGGAGCGGCUGGGGCCGUGAGCCAUGGCCGCUGGGCCUGCGCGUCCGGAGCCUGUGCUCCGCAACGGGAGAGGCCACAACAGUGAGAGGCCCGCGUACCGGAAAAAAAAAAAAAAAAGUAAGUUACAAGAGGAGACCUUUAAAAAGUAAGGUUGCAGUUAUCAGCUUCCAGCAGACAUUAUUUUGAGAACGGCUGGUGGCAUCCAAGUCUGACACAGCUCAGAAAACUCAAGUUCUUAGCAAUACAAGGAUUUGCCUGAAAUCACACCCACAGUGUCAUCUAGUUAUUUCUUGGAUGUCUUAAACCAUAGCUACUCCAUUUUGACUCUUAAUUGUAAUAUUCCCCUUAAUAGCCAAAGCAGAUGUCACCAUUAAUGAUGUUAGUGUUUCUCUAGGUAUGAGAAGAGCAAGAAUCUGGCCCAUAAAAUCUUCUCCUGAAAAUAUCUAACUAUCUAUCGGAAGGCCUGUUCUGCCAGUUUUCCCCAGAGCGCCUCAUUCCUGUUCUCCACUCUGAACUCCUUUUCAGGGGGUGUUGAAGGUCAGCAGCUGCAGCGGCUCGUGAUUUAAUCUUUGUAGAGGCAGACAGCAAGUGCCAAUGGUAUCUGGAAAACGAAGCUGCAUUUGGGGCACGUUACAGAUGAGGAAUGAUCCAUAUGUGCUGGGUGUCAUACAUUUCAGAGAGCAUAAAGUAUACAUUCUCACAGAGACAGGAGUUCGAAAGUUGCCUGGUCCUCAGAAACAACCGGCUAGGUAAAAACUUGUGCAUGUGAUUCUGGAUAGGGGUUCAGCGCCCGUCUGUUGGUUAAGCAAUCUGUCUUUGGUUUGGCAUCUGCCUCUGUGGUGGGCUGUCUCCUGAGCCUUCACUUCCGUCUUGACUGCUGAGGUGGUCCACUUUGCAGAGCUUUCUGCUGUUGGUGCUGCUUUACCUGAGUCAGAAUUUCCUGAAUUUUUCUCUGGGCAACCUGCAGUAGGAGAGAGCUUUGAAAUUUCUACCUGAUCAAGUAUGACCAAAAGUUAAUUUACUCUUCCAUUUCAACAACUUCAAAUUGAAACUUAUUUGAAGAUUAAAGAUACAUACUUAUUAGUUUCUCCUAGCAGAGUCUCUGAAAUCACCUGCUUAAAGGGGGAUUAAAAGUGUUAAGCACCAAGCAGCCUGAAAUAUUUAUAUGACAUGGGGACACGCAUGGGAGGAGGAUCACUCAGGAAGAAGGAAGAAGCAGAAGAGCUCACUUAUCACACUAGAGCCCACUUGCCUGGCAAGCAUAGAAGUGACCAGUUAUUUUGACCACCACUUGGUCAUUCUCAUCAGGCGUCUGGUCACGAGGGACAACAACUUCUGCGCUUGACAAAUUCUGGAGCUCAUUCACCUGAAGGAGAUAAAUACAAAUCAUGUUAAGUGGAGUUGUUCUUUUUUUUUUUUUUUAAAUUACCAUUUCCUUACUAUGUAACCAAAAUACUGAGCUUUGGCUUUAUAUUUAUAAUCUCAUCUAAUAAUACUAAUAAUUCUAUCCGUUUACUAGUAUUGUCCCCAUUUCAAGGUAAUUAAAACUAAGCCUUAGUGAAAGAAACUGACUCGCCCACAGUUGCAUAAGUUAAUGACAAAACCAGAUUCAACCCCUGAAAAUCUGAUUCCAAAAUACACUUUCAAUCACUUCAGAAUUGUAAAUAGCUUUGAAAAUGACUUGGAAGUUUUAUGUGUUAGAAACUGGAAACCAUUUGCUUUUUUCAGUUACAGAGGUAUAAGUUAUAAAUGUAGAUGAAAUUUUUUAAAGUUUCUUUUCAUGUCAUUAAGUGUUUGCACAAUAAAAGUAAAAAGCUGAUGUAUAACAACAGAAAAUGCAAAAUGCCCCUUAUAAAUAUGAGACAGUUCUCCCAUACAAAGUGGUCUGAAAGAGAGGCACUGCUUUCACUGGUAGCUGACACCAACACCCAGGAGGAACAAAAGGCAGUCUUCUCCAAACCUUGGCCCAGACGGUCCUGCUUUUUAUAAGUUAGCCAAAAUUUAGGGACUUGGAACUCCUAAGUACCUUUCAACGCUUUCCCUUUCAUACCACUGCACAGGUUUUGCUGAAGUACUUGCCGUUUUGCCUCCUUUUCCAAUAACUCUGCCAGCAGCAAAGGAUGGCACUCUGAUGUGAGCUUCAAGUUUCACCUCUUCUUUAGGACUAACAAAGUUUUCUUCUUUAAUUUUUCCAUAAAUUCUUCCCUGAGCCUACAGAUGAGAACAUAUCUCAUCAGUGUCAUUCAUGUAGGAAAUGCAAAAAGGUCCAUUAACUUUAAAGACGGCCCGGAUCCACUGGAACAGACCUUUGCAGUGAUACAUCUGCAUUUGAUAGAUUGUGGAACGUUGCACAAGAGGUGGAAAAGUAAGGAAGUCCUAGAAAAGGUUGACAACAAUAAUAACUAUACAUCACAGAUGAGGCAAUUGAAUGAUUGAUAAAAUAAGAUUAAACCAUAUUCUUCUGACAAAAACGGUUAAAGGCAAUAAGUUAGCAGUCAGCCGAACUAAAAUUUUUGCAAAUGACCAUUUGCUCUCCAGUCUUGAAAGGUAAAACCUCUCCUGUUGGCAAUAAGAUAGUAACUGCGUUUUUCUUGAGUAAAAGGGACUGCAGAGGAACUACAGAGCCACCUAUCCGAGGCUCACAAGAAGCCAAGCCGCUGCCUAAAUGGGCCAGCAAGGAAUUUUCUGGUUAAACAUUUCUUCAUCUUAGCCAGAUGGUUUCUACUUCGACUAAGGCUACAAAAUCAAGUUAACAUACACAUCUGACAGUUAUAGUCAAACACAUCCUGUCACUUGCUGCAUACAACUAGAAGUUAUACAUAAUAAACCUCUCCUAUUAUGUACAACCAUUAAUUUGCUCUGGUAUACACCAAAGGAAAAAGAAGUCAGAGUUGGUUUCAUCUGACAAGCUGCCACAGCAGAGAACAAAAACAAAAGUACCGAACACGUUUUCACUGGUGCAGAAAUGAUAAGCUCAUUUUAGGGGGUUACAGGGGAAAAAAAAAAAAAAUCCAUCUUAGUACCCUGUCUUCCAUUCAUCCUCAGUCUCAGGCCACAGAUGUAGCUAUCAACACAGUCAGAGGACACAACGGAUAUACACUGUCCUCCGAAACAAGCUCUUGAAUUCAUAAGAAAAAAUAUGGGUUAGGAGGUUUACUAUUACUUAGAUGUCUAAAAUAAAAUAAUUUAUUUGUUAUUAUCACUGAUCACAUAAAUGACAUUUAAGCAUUAUAGCUUUUCUUAAAUGUCCCAUUUAAGACAACUGAACAAUACAGGCAUAGGAGGAUACAGGGAAACAAACUCUGAAUUCCCCAGCAUACAAGCAUUAUGAAAACUGCAAGAUAGUUAAUUCCAUUUAUAGAAUAAUAAGACCAUAAUUGAUGUUUGUAUUUAUCUUUUAGUAUUUCAAACUAAAAGUGGCUGUCUCUGUAAGUCUGGGAUAGGAAGCAAUUUUUAGCAUCUCUGAGUUUUGAUCUGAACUGCCUGGACCACAAGGCUGGUAUGAGGAAGUAAAUUUCUUGACCCAAGUUUGAGGCUAGCCAACUGUACCCCACAUCUCAAAGCACCUCCUUUUGUUUCCUGUUCUUCCUGUAAAUGAAGUGAAAAAAGCUUCCGAUUUUUAGUGAAAAGUAGAGGUCAAAGAAAGUGAUGGUUUAAAAGGAGGGAAGAAGUGGGCACUUGUUAACUUAGCCACAUUUUAGAGCUAAGAGAAGUAAGGUUAAAGAGUUAUCCUGUUAACACAGCUGCUAAGUGGUAGGAACAAGACAGGAGUUUUGGAUAAAUUGCACUGAAUUGAGUAGCUGCUUUUACCUAUGACAAACAAGACACCCUACUGAGUUUAUGAGAGAAAUCACAUACUCAAAGGUAUACGUUUGUGAAUUUGAGGAUCUGGCAGGGUCUUAGUCUGAUUCAUCCCAAGUCUGCUCAGCACCACCACCAGCACAUUUAUGUUGUACUUCCUGUGUCAGGCACUAUUCUAAGCAAUUCAUAUAUUGUUUAAACCUUAUUUAAACUUUGUGGGUGUUUUUAACCCCGAUUUUAUAGAUGAGGAACUAGGCAGAGAAAGGCUAAGUAACUUGCCCAAGGUCACACCACUGGUAAAUGGUAAAGCUGGGCUUUGAACCAGCAACCUGGCUACCAGGUCUCUGCUCUUCAUCACCCUGCUACACCACCUCUCAGGACAUGGUGGGAGGCAUUCCAGCCCCAAAGGCCCCAAACCCCAGUAUGACCAAUGGUUCACACCAGGACAAAUGCUGUAAGAGUUCCUGCCAUUUCUACCUCUAAAAUUCAAAAGAUUAGAGUGGCUUGUUGACCGACUGUGGACAAGGGCUAACGGUUAACCCAAGGGUAAGAGCAAACGGGGACAUUUUAAUUCAAGGUUGAGGCCUCUCUGGGACAAGAGGAAAAACUUGAGAACAGCAAGGCAUAUGAAUCAGACUUGUAAAUUUCAGUCUUAAGGUCUCACCUUCACACAUGCUAACAGGGCAUUGAGCAAAUUCUCCUUUGGGAGAUAAUCAAAACCAACAACCAUUACAGAACUCUCAAAAUUAACCAAAGGCUUUGGUUUAUUUUUAAAGUGUAAUUUGCAGUAUGUUUCUACUCUGUUCUUAGUCUUAGAAAUUUCCAUUGAGAGAUUCUUUAUACUGAGUAUUAGAUUUUUUUUUACAGGAGAAGCCAGGUUAUGGAUUUCCCGAAAAGAAGACAUCCAUUCAUUUGUUACCUGUGCACACACUCCAGAGCACAUACCUUGAACUGAGCCUCCGGUGGCCCAGUGAUGAUCACCAUCCUCACUUUAGCAUCUGGUGCUUCAGCUGGAGCGAUCUGUAACAGACCCAGUAACGGGUUAUGACACUUUCAGGUGCCACCAAUAGAAAUGGUACACCAACCAGCCUGUCAUUUGCACAUGACUUACUGAAAUGCAGAAUGAAAGCCUUCUGGAAGGUAGUUACAUGAAGCAGUGAUUAAUGUGGAUACAUUAGUUAUGGCUCCUGCCGUAUACUGUGUACUUACACUGUGCCUGGCCCUAAUGUAAAAGUCCAGAUGCAGCCUCUACAUAAUCCUCACUAUUUCCUGACGAGGUACUGCCUCAUGGAGAGGCCAAAGGCUGGAGAAGGUGAGUCACCUGGCCCAUGAUCACACAGUCCAGUGAAGCUGGAGGGAGAGCUGGGUCUGGCUCCACCAUCACAUUCCUUGUCACUACACCAGUGGGUGCUCAAAGGGUGGUUCUUGGCCCACGCGCAUCACAACACCCUGGGCCUCCUGUAUGUGCAAGAAACUGCUAGGUUCCCAGUCUAAGCCUAUCAGUACAUUCCCCCAAAGUACACUCGCUGGACUAACAUAUGGAAUAAACUAACAUUAAUUUGGCAGAAGAAAAGUAAACUCAGACUCUUCUAUUUUGGCAGAGCGUGUGAAAUGACACAAAAAGCCUAGGCUAGGGAAUUGUUGCAGAGACUGUUGAAGGGGGAGGAAACCAGCAUUCCCUUAGUAAGAAAGGAUUUGGGGAGUUGGCUGGUAGGAAGUGUUUUAAAAGAAAAAAAUUUGCUAGGUAUUUGCUGUGCAAGAAGCAAUUCCCUAUAGUAAAUAAUGAGAACAGGAGGCAAAAAAUACAAUAAAAGCCAUCCCAACUACCACUCAGUAUGAUCACUGUCAAUUACUUAUAGUCUAGUAGGCCCUUCUCCACCUUCAUAAUCAAAACAAUGUUUUUUACUUUUAAUAGACUCAUGCUUCCUCCCUCAAAAUAAAGCUAACAUUUCUGUUACUUAGACCCAAAUUAAUACUAUUGCUACUUUAUUGCUGGGCACUAAUUGUGAGUCUGUAAAACAAGCCAAUAAUUACUUCCUUUUAGACCACACUCUUAGGAUUAUUCACAGGAAACCCCAAAAAGAAGGUAUCAUUCUUCGUCUUUCUGACUAAGGUUUCCUUUUUUUAAAAAGGAUCUUUGUCAACACUGGUGAUAGAGGGCUGGGGCUGAGGACACUUGUACACUGAGGUUAGGAGUACAAAUUGCUACAAUCUCUCAAAAGCCUGAAAAAAGCACAUGCCCUGUGACUCACCAAACCCACUUCUGUAGACUUACGUUAAAGGAUAAGGUUAUAUAUGACAAUUUGACCAAAAGAACUUUGUCUAUCCCUGUGCAGGUUAAAUUAGGAACAAUCUUAAUGUCCAGUAAGUUAACACAAAUGAUUAUGGUUCGGUAAUACCAAAUAUAUGCCUAUUAAAGUAAGUACAUAUAUGGAAAUUUACAUUAUGGAAAUGUAGCGAAGUGUUAGGAGUGCUGAUGAAUCUUUCAGAUUAUGCAUGUUUCAGACUUUUUGGAAACAAAAAUAUUUUAACCUCAUCAUAAAACCUCCAUUAAAGCCAGAAAGAAAAAGAGCCAAACGUCUAAAUACCCAGUUCUUCUUGUUCAUGAAAUGUUCGUCGCAGUUUUUCCAAAACAAAGCUGCUAGGUUCUUUUUGCAUGUGUGAGCAUGUUUUACAGAUUAACUCAGUAAUCAGGAAACUAACAGGAUAGUAAAGUUAGUUCACCCCUUGGUCUUUUAUCAUGUCUUUUCCUUUACCCAUUUAUUUAUUUUGGCUGCAUUUUCUGCUCACGUUAUUUUGUUAUCUUUUGCUACAAGAGAGAAUAUGAGGGCUUUCCUGUGUGUUUUGCUUUUUUAUUAACUGUGUAGUUUACAUACAGUAACGCUCACUCCUUUGGUACCAAAUACAUAGUUGUAAAUACCACCACAAUCAACAUAAAAACAGCUUCUGUCACUCAAAAUUUCCUCAUGCUGCCUUUGUUUUCAACCCCUCCACCUCCAACUCCUAGCAACCACUGAUUUUUUUUCUCAAUUUCCAUAGUUCUGUCUUUUCCAGAAUUUUCAUAUAAGUGGAAUCAUACAGUAUGUGGCCUUUUGAGUCUUCUUUCUCUUAGCAUAAUACAUGUGAUUCACUCAAGUUGUUUUAUGUAUCAAUAGUUCCCUCCUUUUUACUGCUAAGUAAUUAUUAUAUAGACGGGCCACAGUUUAUGCAUUUGCCAGCUGAUGAACAUUUGCUUCUUCCCCAUUUCCCAGUUAUAAAUAAAGAUACUAUGAACAUUUGA